GUGUGUUUGCACGUUUCUCUAUGUAUGUUUGUCUUUACUGGCACCACACACACUAGCUGAAUCAGCUUAAUCUCAGCCAACGUGUCUAUCAGGGGAAAACCUCUUGAGCUCUUACUGGCCACCUUCAUGUUCAAAACAUUUGUGUUCAGAUGCUGGCCGAGGUCCGCUGGAGUUCAAGAUGGUGCUAAAGUAGUGAGAGAGAGCAAGAGAACCACAGAGGGAGUGUGUAAACAUGUGUGUAACCAUCCCUGUAAUUGCCAUUAAGUGGCUUAGCGCUAUCUCCACCCAGUCCCAGCUGAUAAGGCUGCGUUCGGUCUGCCGUUUCUUGUAAGGCCGACAAGAAGUUUUUUCUUCAUCGUGCUCUGGGACAAACUUUAUCCAAUACGAUCUUCUGCACAACGCACCAGGAACAUGUCGCAAAUAUAGUCAUACAAGCAAAUAAUUUAAUCAGAAGAUCAAAUUAGCAUUAGCAAAUUAGCUAUACGUAUCAGAUGUAAACCUGCUGACCUGCUGUGUUUGGGGGGGGCUUUACAAACACUGACACAGAGCUAAGCCGUAGUAGUGGUACACUUGUGUGGGCGUAGUCAUGUUUCCACUUCUUCAUUCAGGCAUUAAAGAACUAAGUUUUUACGUGACAACACACGUUUCAUGUCUGUCCUGUCAUCUUCCCCGAGGAGGUAGCCAAAAUGUUUUCUAAUACCUCAAUUAAUCAGAUGGACACAAAGCAGAUCGAUGACACUGGAGGGCCAGUCGCCGGUCUUUGGGCUUAAAGGCGUUUUCCUUGCGACGGAUAUGUGGCGCGUGGGAGUGUAACUACUGCAGUCUCUAAUAACAACUCUGCCUUUUAUCUUGGUGUGUUGCUAAUGCAAAGGCAAGUUUAGUGAAGGACGCCUAGGAACCUUGUGCCAUAUUUCUGCAGUAACAGCUUUCAGAGACCGAACAUUAAAAUAAAUCCCUGAAAUGCCCACGUGUUUGUGUACUUGUGAGGGGAAAUAACGCCAGUUAGUCAGAGUAUGUACGGAGUUUUUUACUGAUGAAGACAAAUUUGUCCUAAGUGUGUGUCAUUCACCCCCCAAAAAAGGUCAAAUUUUUCUUUGUCAUUUUAACCCUUCCUUUCAGCACUGGUCUUUCAACUGUGUGCACUUGUGUGUGUUUUGUGUGCUUUGCUGGUGGUCCCUCAGACCCUCGAGGUCCACUCUGUUUACCCAGCACCCUGUUGUCUCUCACACGCCCUUCUGAUGGGCUUCUUUUUAAGCGAACAGGUAAUAAAAUUAAAAGUUUCAUUAACUCUCUUUUUUUUUUUCAUUUUCUCACCGUUACAAUUGAUUUCCAUUUAGCCUCUCUCACUGCAACACUCUGCUCCUCACGUUGGCCGAUUGCUUUGGUUGGACUCUGGGGCUUGUAGCAGAACAACCAAAUAAGUCAGUCAUUCACUUCAGAGCUGUUAGCAGUGUGGCAGCAGCCAAACAAAGCACUGCCCUAGCCUUUAUGGCUAGUACUUUUAAAAAGACAUGGUACCCUGUAUUUACUUUGUUUGAUUUGAUUUUUAUUUGUUUGUUUUGUUUUGUUUCAGAACAAUAAUGCAGGGCUUGGUUUAUUCAGCUUGACUUUAUACAUGACACCCGAUGUCUUCUUGUCAUGCCUGUCUCGUCUCUCUGUUGCCUCUUACCCCUGAUGCCUCAUUACCCACAAGUCUAUUUAUACACUUUGUUAUCCACGAGUGAAGCUUUCCUGGCAGGAGCUGCUAAGCACUGCCAGUCCGGGAAAGAAUGCCCAUUCUGGGGCUUUGCAGAGACUGUGGCCCUGGUCCCUGGAAGAAUUGCUACUCUGUCUUCUGUAGCUGGUUAUGUAAGCAGCGGACCUCCUCAAACUGACAGAAUGAUGAACUCAAUUAAAGCUAUGUUAACAGCAGUACUCUCUGCAGAACACCAGAGUGUCUAAAUAUUGUUUUUCAUGUAACAUAUUGAGGAAAAAUACAUGAUGAACUGUAUGGAUUGAAAGCUCCAGUUAAUGAUGUAAGGCUGGGACCACUACAUUAGUUUCUUGUUAUAAUCAGAGCGCUGCACAUUCCUGUUUGAGAAAAUGACAGAAAACCAGUCUGUAAAAAUGUAAACUUUGAUGAAUGAAGCAUUUUGGAGAUUUUUAAGCCAUUUCACAAAAUUCUUGACAUGACUUGUUGUUGUCAUGUCAUUAAA